UGGGGAAUAUUGCACAAUGGGCGCAAGCCUGAUGCAGCCAUGCCGCGUGUGUGAAGAAGGCCUUAGGGUUGUAAAGCACUUUCAGCGAGGAGGAAGGGUUCAGUGUUAAUAGCACUGUACAUUGACGUUACUCGCAGAAGAAGCACCGGCUAACUCCGUGCCAGCAGCCGCGGUAAUACGGAGGGUGCAAGCGUUAAUCGGAAUUACUGGGCGUAAAGCGCACGCAGGCGGUUUGUUAAGUCAGAUGUGAAAUCCCCGAGCUUAACUUGGGAACUGCAUUUGAAACUGGCAAGCUAGAGUCUUGUAGAGGGGGGUAGAAUUCCAGGUGUAGCGGUGAAAUGCGUAGAGAUCUGGAGGAAUACCGGUGGCGAAGGCGGCCCCCUGGACAAAGACUGACGCUCAGGUGCGAAAGCGUGGGGAGCAAACA
rnacentral:rRNA from 1 species